UGCAAGUCGAGCGGAACGAAGGUAGCUUGCUACCAGGCGUCGAGCGGCGGACGGGUGAGUAACGCGUAGGAAUCUGCCUAGUAGAGGGGGACAACAUGUGGAAACGCAUGCUAAUACCGCAUACGCCCUGAGGGGGAAAGGAGGGGAUCACUUGUGACCUUCCGCUAUUAGAUGAGCCUGCGUGAGAUUAGCUAGUUGGUAGGGUAAAGGCCUACCAAGGCGACGAUCUCUAACUGGUCUGAGAGGAUGACCAGUCACACUGGGACUGAGACACGGCCCAGACUCCUACGGGAGGCAGCAGUGGGGAAUAUUGGACAAUGGGCGCAAGCCUGAUCCAGCCAUGCCGCGUGUGUGAAGAAGGCCUUAGGGUUGUAAAGCACUUUCAGGGGUGAGGAAGGGUGAGUCGCUAAUAUCGACUUAUCUUGACGUUAGCCCCAGAAGAAGCACCGGCUAACUCUGUGCCAGCAGCCGCGGUAAUACAGAGGGUGCAAGCGUUAAUCGGAAUUACUGGGCGUAAAGCGCGCGUAGGUGGUUUG
rnacentral:rRNA from 1 species